rnacentral:rRNA from 1 species
GACAGAGGGUGCAAACGUUGUUCGGAAUUACUGGGCGUAAAGGGCGCGUAGGCGCCUUCUAAGUCGAACGUGAAAUCCCCGGGCUCAACCCGGGAACUGCGUCCGAUACUGGAAGGCUUGAAUCCGGGAGAGGGAUGUGGAAUUCCAGGUGUAGCGGUGAAAUGCGUAGAUAUCUGGAGGAACACCGGUGGCGAAGGCGACAUCCUGGACCGGUAUUGACGCUGAGGCGCGAAAGCCAGGGGAGCAA